UCCCUGGUGGUCCAGUGGCUAGGACUCUGCACUUCAGUGCAGGGGGCCUGGGUUCAAUCCCCAGACAGGGAC
rnacentral:tRNA from 1 species